GUAGGUGAACCUGCGGAAGGAUCAUCAUUGGAUGUGGGGAGUGGGUAUGGGUUAGAUAGUCAUGACGUUAGUCAUGGCUAUGUAACCUAACCACUCUCCUUUUAAUUUUCCAACCCAUGUGCACCAACAAAUGUGAAUAGACUGAUAACUUAUAACUAAUAUAACAACUUUUAACAAUGGAUCUCUUGGCUCUC
rnacentral:misc_RNA from 1 species